rnacentral:rRNA from 1 species
AGAAAAACCCUAUGAAGCUUGACUGUAUCUUGGAAUUGGGUUCGGGCUUUUCUUGCGCAGCCUAGGUGGGAGGCAUUGAAGAUUUCCUUCCGGGGAAGUUGGAGCCAUCAUUGAGAGACCACUCUGGAGAGGCUAGAAUCCUAAUGGUGAUCCUUGAAUCAGGACACUUGACAGUUUCAGGUGGGCAGUUUUCCUGGGGCGGGAGCCUCAUAAAAGGUAACUGAGGCGCGCAAAGGUCCCCUCAGUCUGGACGGAAAUCAGACAACGAGUGUAAAGGCAAAAGGGGGCUUGACUGCAAGACCUACAAGUCGAGCAGGAGCGAAAGCUGGCCUUAGUGAUCCGACGGUGCCGUGUGGAAGGACCGUCGCUCAACGAAUAAAAGUUACUCUAGGGA